CUUUGUUGUUAGCAGCCAACUUCAGGACCGCGCCGCCGGAGAGCAUCUGAAGCAUAAAGAGACUGGCUCAUGAUGGCGUUGUGCAGCAUCAGCCUACAGGACGUAGGGAUGACGGUCAUGCUGGCGUCAGACAGAACCUUGAAGGGUGGAUAGGUGCUGUCGUUCCUGAUCACAGAGAAAGAUGAAAAUUGAGCCUCCUGUUGAGAAACACUUUGACCUGGUAAGAAAAAACACACAAACAUGAUGUAGUUAAAGUUUCUCUUUACUGUUUUAGAUGACAGAGGAGUCCAUUCUCUUAAUGUUAUUGGUCUAAACUACCAAAAUCUAGUCUAAUAGACUCAAGGACAUCAAGGACUCAAGUCACCCCAGCCAUAAACUGUUCAGACUACUUCCAUCAGGAAGGAGGUUCUGCAGCAUCCGGUCCAGAACCAGCAGACUGAGAGACAGCUUUUUCCAUCAGGCCAUCAGACUGCUGAACACUUCACAGACACCUCACCCUCACUACUGAAACUCCAACAUUACACAUUCCAUACUGUACAUUAAUGCCACUGUUUUGCACAUACCAGCCUCUAUAUAUUUUAUAUCUCUUAUCUUAUUGUUUACUUUAUUCAUUUGUAUAUUUAGAUUAGCCAUUUUUAUAUUUUACAUGUUUUUACGUUACUGUAUUUUUGCACAACUCUGUUGCUGUGAAGCUCGCACACAAGAAUUUCACUCACAUGUACUGUACCAGUGUACCUGCACAUGUGACGUGACAAUAAAAGUGAUUUGAUUUGAUUUUUUUAAUAGCAAACAAACAAAUCAAAACAUCCCAAAUGGACUAUUUUAGUUCCUCAAAAGCACCGACCAGUGAGUAGGAGCUGAUUAAAGGGUUAAAAUCAGCUCUGAAUGAAAGAGGAAUAUUUCAAAUCCACCUGUGAGUUUCUAAAAAUGAAGUUUAAACACCAGGAAGUCAAAAACGAACCCAUCUCAUGGAGGACAUGUUUCACUCUGUUGUUGCUGUCCUGAACGUUAACAUGAGUUAAUAAAUAAAUGCUGAGAUUCUCUGUUUCUCCUGUAAACCUGAACUCAGAACGACGCUAAUUGUGUUUGAGUUGGAAAAGCGUUGGACAGACAUCUGAUCUGGCAUCCGUCAGUGUUUUUAUGUUGCUCAGAGAAGGAAGAAGUCGGUUGGAAUGUCUGCUCCAGGUAUUAUUGACAAAAUCAGCAUGCUGUUGUUUUUUGGGGAAUUUUCAAAGAAUAAAUCUGACUUUGGUGCUCACUGGGACCUUAUAAAUUUAAACGUUUGUGUUUAACCCAACUGGGCCACUCUGCAGUUCUUUACUGUAAUUAUGAUUAAAAAAGGGACGGGAGGGUCAGUCACGCGUGUGCUUACCCGCGCCGAUGUUCCUCCCAUGUUGCCCCAGUGGACCGGGCUCUCCAGGAAGACCACUUGCUCCUACAUGACCCCGAAAACCUUUAGGACCCAUUGGUCCAACCACGCCUGGACUCCCCCUGUCCCCUUUGAGCCUCAGCAGGACCGGUUGAUCCCCUGGACCGUCCACAGACACAGCUGGACACAAACACACAAAAUGUGUAGACGAAGGAAAAUCAUUUCUCAACUCCUGACAUCAGCCUGAGAAUACACAAAGACGUAUUUAGUCAAUAAACAACUCUAACCCAAGAAUUCAUAGAUUAUACUGUAUAUCAUCAAUACAUAAAUUAUGAAUGAUGAGCACAGAUUACAUGUCUCAAACACGUUCACAGUAGCAGAAACAUUUCUGUACUACAGGAAGUUGUUACCUGGCGCUCCUUUCUCUCCUUUCAUCCCAGACAGUCCGUCCCGUCCAGGAGAUCCAGCUUCUCCCGGAUGACCGUCCGUUCCUUUGCAGCCCGGAUUACAUCGGACAGCCGACAGAAACCCGGCCACACCAACCAGAACUACUAGUCCAAUAAAUCCUGCCAUGAUCCAAAACUCUGGAGGCCGAAAAUGUCAAAACAAGCAAAAAGGGCAAAAAUUAAAAGAAACACAAACGGGCAGAAAUCCACUCUGAUAAAACAGAAAUCUAAAAAUAUAUUUAUUAAAGUGAAUGAAAGAUUAAUUACCAGUAAAUGAUCAUUUAUGCAUGAGAAUAAGGUCAGAUAUUUCCCUUUGUGACUUUAAAAUAUUAAUUAAGACAUAAUCUAAAAAAUGUAAUAACAGAAAAAUCACAUACAUUUACACAAAGUUUGUUGGUGGAAUAAAAUGAAGAAUUUACUGACCGAUCUAAUAAAAAUCUUUGUGUUUCUAAAACAAAAACCAUCAAAAUGUAUAAAGUACUCAGUCAUUCAUCCCUUUUAUCAGAUUUUGCUUAAAUCCUAAAUACAACCUGCAGGAUUACAGAUUAAAAAACAAACUUUGCUAAAAAUCUGAAAUUCUUCAUUUUUUUCUUUUCUACUUUUGCUAAAAGAUUAUUUUUACUCACCAUUUGACUGUUUUGAUAAAAGGUCGAUGUUUCCUUCUUAUUUUACUGAGGAGGAAUAACUGAGUGGUUUGAGUCUGGACGCGCGCAAACACACACACACACACAUGAACAGAGUCAGACAGGAAACGAAACCCAUAAUCUGACGGGAAGAAGAACCCUCCAGAGCUGCUGACCUGAAGUCAGAUUUAUAAAAUGUUUUUGUUGUUUGAUUUUUAGCUAAUCCAGCUGUUGGUUUAAUGAGAUUAUUUACAAACAAAAUGUCAAAGUUUAUUCAGUCUGAAUCCUAAAAUCAGGACCUAAAGCUGUUACUUUGGAAAAAUCAGGAGAAUCCUAACCAGCAUCCUUCCUGAUCACACACACCUAAUAUAAAUGAAUUUUCUACACGUAAACCCUGCUUUACUAUGAUCCAUUUCCAGUUUGGGUCAAAUAUAACUGGUUUAUUUUCAGAUGAAGUGGAGAAAUGAAAAGCUGCAUGUUUAACAUUUUUUUAUUUGAGCUAAAUGAAGAGCAGGAAACAAUCACUGUUCAAGAGCAUGUUGUUUACUUUAAAAGAAAGAAAGAAAAUAGCACCUCUCGAGAUAAAAAUCAUGAGGUGCUUCACAAAUAUGAAAGGGGUUUUAAAAAAGGAUUAAAAAGUAUGGUUGAAAUGAGAAAAAAAGUAAGGACAUGGAGUGUUAAAAUGAAUAGGAAAGAGGGGAAUCAGUGGAUCCCGGGAAAGGCGGAACAGGUAGAAAGAGCAGAAUAAGGAGAGGUCACGCUGUCAGCUUCAUGUAAAAGCUUGCAUGAAAAAAUAUGAAUUGUGCAUAAAAUAUCAUUAUGUAUGAAAACUAUAAAUAUGCUGAAAAUUAAAACAUCAUUAAAUGUGUUUCUUUCUUUGUAAAAUUCAAUAUUUAUUCCUUAUCCAGGAUCCAAUUAUGCUUCAAAAUGUUCUUUCUGAAAUUUGAUCAUCAAGCAGCUUAUAGGUUAGCCUACAGAGAACUGCAACCAUGAUGAAAAGAAAACUGUUUUAUGUCUCGUUUUGAAAUCACCAUGUGGAACGCUGGAGCCACCAUCAGGGACAAGAAGAAGCUGCAGCGUGUUGCACGCUCUGCUGAGGUCAUUGGCUGCAGACACCUCCAUACACCUGUACACCUCCAGGACAUUGAGGCAUGCAGGUCGGAUAACAGCUGACCUGUCUCACCCUGGAAAGUCUUUUUGAAUCCGCACACUGGUCAUUCUGUGUGACACUUAGAAAAAUGGGUAGGACGUAGUACUCGAUGUGUACUCCAAUACAAUGAUUAAAUGAUUGAGUCACAGCGUCAGCAUUCUUUAUGGCAUUGUGCAAUUACAAAAUCAGCUAAACUUAUGGAUCUUAAGUGAUUAUAAAAUACUCAAAAGUGAUUAUUAGAUAUCAAAUAACUAUUCUAUCUCAUUGUGUGAUUAUCUGAGCCUUAAGCUGAGUGGUAGCAGGGGAUAUAACCUAACAAUAGUCACAUUUGUUAGCACUUUAUUUUGAAAUGCCACAUCAGAUCCUUAUGAAAGUCGGACAGGAUCUAGUACUCGAUGUGUACUUUAAGACUUAUGUGGACUGUUGUUGCAGAAUCAGACAGUUGAGAAAAUAAAACCAUUGGAUAUAGUAAAAUUUGUUUUUAUAGCCAACUUUGAUUGCACUUUAUUUUGAAAUGCCACAUCAGACUAGUACUCGAUGUGUACCUUUACACUGAAAUGAUGUUGCAGAAUCCGUUUUUGAGAAAUGCACCAUUGAAUAUGCUGAAAAUCGGUUUCAUAACCAACUUUGAUUGCACUUUAUUUUCAAAUGCCACAUCAGAUCCUUAUAAACUUUAGGAUGUAGUACUCGAUGUGUACUUUUACACUGAAAUGGAAAGAUGUUGCAGAAUCAGACAGUUUAAAUCUUAAAUUAAAAAGCGCAACAAUAAAUAAACACCCAAAAGUAACUACAAUACCCAAGAUGCCUUUGGUCGAGAAUGAUUGGGAAGCUCCCGUCUUUGUGAAAUAGCAUAAUAAACGAUUCUAAUGUGUUUUUGUAUGUUUUAAUCACUUAGUCAUUGGACUUCAAUUUUAACAUACUUUUGUCCUGCUUCCCUAAAUAAAUGCUAUGAUUUUAUCAUCAGGUUUGGAAAAUUAAGCAGUUUUAUUCCAUUUUCAUUUUAACAAGGAAGAAAUGUAAGGGGAUUGUUUAGAGAUUGCUUAAAGAGAAACUUUUCAGUGAACGUGAAUCUGAUCGCAGCAUGUGUUAUUGAGAAUGAACCGGAAGUUCUGGAAAUACACUAGCAAGCACUCAACAGAACCGAUGUUUGAAAACAGGUCCAACAUUACAUUAGCUGUAGGAAAACCAGGCAUCACCAAACAAUGUCAGCGCGUGAACCCAAAAUGAAACUGAUUUUUAUCUCUUAUCCAAACCAGACUUACAAACUGUAGCUAACAUGAUGCAGGUAUGACAAAUUCUGGGUAACACUGCUUCAGAACAGGCUUUUAAUAAGGCUGAGAAUGAUAUUGUCAUUUUUUACUUCCAACAAACCAAUACUUAAACUGAGCAGCAAAUACAAAAAAAAUCUUUAUUGACAUCUCUCCCUUUACAACACAACAAAAAAGGAAAGAAAACACAACUGGGAUGAUCUGUCUUUAUGCAUUUGAGCAAGUUGUGCAAAUGCUUUUAUUUUAUUUCUAUUGCAGAUUUUUGUCUGACUAAAAUAUGAGCUAAAUUCUAGUAAAUAAUCAGAAGGGAGUCAUUUUUUGUCUUUCGGCUAACAGCUGUUCGUCUUUACACUCCUCAAAAA